rnacentral:rRNA from 1 species
AACGAACGCUGGCGGCAUGCCUAACACAUGCAAGUCGAACGAGACCUUCGGGUCUAGUGGCGCACGGGUGCGUAACGCGUGGGAACCUGCCCUUAGGUUCGGAAUAACUCCCCGAAAGGGGUGCUAAUACCGGAUAAUGUCUUCGGACCAAAGAUUUAUCGCCUUUGGAUGGGCCCGCGUUGGAUUAGCUAGUUGGUAGGGUAAAAGCCUACCAAGGCGACGAUCCAUAGCUGGUCUGAGAGGAUGAUCAGCCACACUGGGACUGAGACACGGCCCAGACUCCUACGGGAGGCAGCAGUGGGGAAUAUUGGACAAUGGGCGAAAGCCUGAUCCAGCUAUGCCGCGUGAGUGAUGAAGGCCUUAGGGUUGUAAAGCUCUUUUAACCGGGAUGAUAAUGACAGUACCGGGAGAAUAAGCUCCGGCUAACUCCGUG